GUGGGCAAGGCCUGGAGAAACAGGAUGGGCCUGAACUAGAUCGCACAGAGGUUGGGAAGGACCUGACCAAAGAAAGAGAAGGGGGGUGAGGGACUGGGUUUAGAAAUUGGUGUGGCUCGAUAAAGGGAACUUAGUGGCUUGAGUCGGAAUGCCACCCAUUUAUGCCUGGCUUUUCUUAUACUUAGUGGGAAACAUCUGCCCACUUUUUAGCUGGAUUGUGACAGAGUGUAAUUGAUUUGCUGUGUGUGUGUGUGUGUGUGUGUGUGUGUGUGUGUGUGAUUGCUUUGGCUAGUGGACUACAGCAUCCUGCAGCAUGGAUUGCUGGAGACAGACUAGCAAGAGGGACUUGAGCCUUUCUCCAGAUGCUGGAGUCAUCCAGGAAGAUGAGAGCAUCAGACUCAGAAGGGCACAGGAGAGAGGGCGUCCUCGGGAGGGAGACACACAGACUUUUCCCCAUGUUGAGACCUUUCCUUUUGAAGACUUCAUCUCACAGCAAACUGACAUGGCAACACCACGGAGGUGGUGACGAUCGGGUUUCAAAGGACAACACAGCACGCUGAUGAGAAGCAAUCACCAGAAAGCAAGGACUCCUAAGCCUUGCAAGAUAAAAGGGCCUUCUUUUCUUGGCAAGCUCCAGGGAUGAUCCGCAAUGACGAACGAUAUGACUGUUAUCUUGACACCGUACUCUCCCAUGUUGAAACUGUUUAUGAGAACCACGCAUCAUAUGAAGAACAGAUUGCCAGACGCUAAGUAAAUCAUUGUAAAGGGUGGUGAGUCAAGUAUUGCCAGUUUUACCCACAUUGUCAUUGUUAUGAUGUAACACAUUCCUCGAGACUGAUAUUGUCUCCAAAUUUGGGCACAAAAGCCUCCCCUUGAUCAGUUGGCUGAGAGUCUCUGCCCCCUGAUAUGUCACACUCAGACCCAGCUGCUGAGACCCGAGCAUCCCGAUUUGGACACACAUCCAACCUGAGUUAAGCACAAAGAACAGCCCAGAAAAGAUAGAAUAUUUUAAAAGGUGUGCGGAGAUUACACAAACUGUAAAUUUCAACCCUUGCUUAAGCAAUAAACCCUGUAAUCCUCUCAGCUCUGCUAGCAGUGAUUAAUAAACAGUGGGUGUGCUAAGCAUAUGGAAAAAUCAUCCCAUCUGGACCAUUUAAAACUAGGACAUAGACUUUAUCUUUGUUUAUUUCAUCCUUAGCUAAAAGGCUUAUUAUGAAUUGCAAUAAUCCAAGAAGCCAACCAUGGAGGACAGACAAACUCUUUAGAUAAAACCAAAAAAACAAGCUCUGUAGCUGAGUACCAGAUGUAUUUUUGGGUUUAGCCCUUGUACAUAUUUAGCCGAGCUUUUCAAGUGGGGAAGAUUUGCAUGUUUGUUUUGCAAUACUAAUGAAUAUGUUUUUGAUUUACAUUUUAGAAAAUGGAAACUUUUAUCUUCUUGGGGCUUUGGAACUUAAUGACUUCCAGAGGGGAGCUUGUGUCCUCUUUUAACCCUUCACCAUGAGAAACGUAUCUUGUUCAGAGGCCCAGCCCUGGAACUUGCUGAAUAAAACCCUUAAGAUAA